rnacentral:rRNA from 1 species
GAUGAACGCUAGCGGCAGGCCUAACACAUGCAAGUCGAGGGGCAGCACAGAAACAGCAAUGUUUUGGUGGCGACCGGCGGACGGGUGCGUAACGCGUAUGCAACCUACCUCUAACAGGGGGAUAACGGAGAGAAAUUUCCACUAAUACCCCAUAACAUCGAUCAAGGCAUCUUGAUUGGUUGAAAACUCCGGUGGUGAAAGAUGGGCAGGCGUUGUAUUAGGUAGUUGGUGAGGUAAUGGCUCACCAAGCCUACGAUACAUAGGGGGACUGAGAGGUUAGGCCCCCACACUGGUACUGGGACACGGACCAGCCUCCUACGGGAGUCAGCAGUGAGGAAUCUUGGUCAAUGGGGGCAACCCUGAGCCAGCCAUGCCGCGUGCAGGAAGACGGCUCUAUGAGUUGUAAACUGCUUUUAAACAGGGAUAAAGCACAGUAUGUAUACUGUGUUGAAGGUACUGUAAGAAUAAGGAUCGGCUAACUCCGUGCCAGCCGCCGCCGUAA